AGGAUGAACGCUGGCGGCGUGCUUAACACAUGCAAGUCGAACGGUGAAGCCCAGCUUGCUGGGUGGAUCAGUGGCGAACGGGUGAGUAACACGUGAGCAACCUGCCCCUGACUCUGGGAUAAGCGCUGGAAACGGUGUCUAAUACUGGAUACGAACAGUGACCGCAUGGUCAGUUGUUGGAAAGAUUUAUUGGUUGGGGAUGGGCUCGCGGCCUAUCAGCUUGUUGGUGAGGUAAUGGCUCACCAAGGCGUCGACGGGUAGCCGGCCUGAGAGGGUGACCGGCCGACACUGGGACUGAGACACGGCCCAGACUCCGUACGGGAGCAGCAGUAGGGGAAUAGUUGCACGAAGUGGGCGACGAAGCCUAGAUUGGCAGACCGAACCGGUCCGGCGGUAGGA
rnacentral:rRNA from 1 species